CCUACGGGAGGCAGCAGUGAGGAAUAUUGGUCAAUGGACGAGAGUCUGAACCAGCCAAGUAGCGUGAAGGAUGACUGCCCUAUGGGUUGUAAACUUCUUUUAUAAAGGAAUAAAACGAGGCACGUGUGCCUUUUUGCAUGUACUUUAUGAAUAAGGAUCGGCUAACUCCGUUCCAGCAGCCGCGGUAAUACGGAGGAUCCGAGCGUUGUCCGGAUUUCUUGGGUUUAAAGGGAGCGUAGACGGGUUGUUAAGUCAGUUGUGAAAGUUUGCGGCUCAACCGUAAAAUUGCAAUUGAUACUGGCAGUCUUGAGUACAGUUGAGGUAGGCGGAAUUCGUGGUGUAGCGGUGAAAUGCUUAGAUAUCACGAAGAACCCCGAUUGCGAAGGCAGCUUACUAAACUGUGACUGACAUUGAUGCUCGAAAGUGUGGGUAUCAAACAGGAUUAGAUACCCCUGUAGUC
rnacentral:rRNA from 1 species